UAGAGGUGCUGCAUGCUGUCGUCAGCUCGUGUCGUGAGAUGUUGGGUUAAGUCCCGCAACGAGCGCAACCCCUAUCCUUAGUUACCAUCGGGUCAAGCCGGGGACUCUAAGGAGACUGCCCCGGAAAACGGGGAGGAAGGUGGGGAUGACGUCAAGUCCUCAUGGCCUCUAUGUCCCGGGCCACACACGUGCUACAAUGGUCGGUACAAAGGGUUGCAAUACCGCGAGGUGGAGCUAAUCCCAGAAAACCGCUCCCAGUUCGGAUUGGAGUCUGCAACUCGACUCCAUGAAGGUGGAAUCGCUAGUAAUCGCGGAUCAGCACGCCGCGGUGAAUACGUUCCCGGGCCUUGUACACACCGCCCGUCACAUCACGAAAGUCGGCUGCACUUGAAGUCGCCGCGCUAACCCGCAAGGGAGGCAGGCGCCGAUGGUGUGGUCGAUGAUUGGGGUG
rnacentral:rRNA from 1 species